rnacentral:rRNA from 1 species
UACGGGGGGGGCAAGCGUUGUUCGGAAUUACUGGGCGUAAAGGGCUCGUAGGCGGCCAACUAAGUCAUACGUGAAAUCCCUCAGCUUAACUGGGAGGGUGCGGCGGAAACUGGAGUGCUUGAGCGCGGGAGAGGAAAGCGGAAUUCCUGGUGUAGCGGUGAAAUGCGUAGAUAUCAGGAGGAACACCUGUGGUGUAGACGGCUUUCUGGACCGUAGCUGACGCUGAGACACGAAAGCGUGGGGAGCAAACAGG